GUGUUUGCUUUGGCAGCACAUACACUAAAAUUGGAAUGAUACAGAGAAGAUUAGCAUGGCCCCUGCAUAAGGAUGACAUGCAAAUUCGUUCCAUAUGUUU
rnacentral:snRNA from 1 species